AACGAACGCUGGCGGCAGGCUUAAUACAUGCAAGUCGAGCGGGCACUUCGGUGUCAGCGGCGCACGGGUGCGUAACGCGUGGGAACAUGCCUUUAGGUACGGAACAACCAAGGGAAACUUUGGCUAAUACCGUAUAAUAUCUCUGGAUCAAAGAUUUAUCGCCUAAAGAUUGGCCCGCGUUAGAUUAGGUAGUUGGUGGGGUAAUGGCCUACCAAGCCGACGAUCUAUAGGGGGUCUGAGAGGAUGAUCCCCCACACUGGAACUGAGACACGGUCCAGACUCCUACGGGAGGCAGCAGUAAGGAAUAUUGGACAAUGGGCGAAAGGCUGAUCCAGCCAUGCCGCGUGAGUGAUGAAGGCCUUAGGGUUGUAAAGCUCUUUUAGAUGGGAAGAUAAUGACGGUACCAUCAGAAUAAGCCCCGGCUAAAUUCGUG
rnacentral:rRNA from 1 species